CAGUGUUACAACUCCUUUAGAUUUGGUCUAGCUGGUCUUCCAGUUUUCAACAGAAACCCCU
rnacentral:snRNA from 1 species